GACGAACGCUGGCGGCGUGCUUAACACAUGCAAGUCGAACGGAAAGGCCCUGCUUUUGUGGGGUGCUCGAGUGGCGAACGGGUGCGUAACACGUGAGUAACCUGCCCUUGACUUUGGGAUAACUUCAGGAAACUGGGGCUAAUACCGGAUAGGAGCUCCUGCUGCAUGGUGGGGGUUGGAAAGUUUCGGCGGUUGGGGAUGGACUCGCGGCUUAUCAGCUUGUUGGUGGGGUAGUGGCUUACCAAGGCUUUGACGGGUAGCCGGCCUGAGAGGGUGACCGGGGACAUUGGGACUGAGAGACGGCCCAGACUGCUACGGGGGGCAGCAGUGGGGAAUAUUGCACAAUGGGCGGAAGCGGGAUGCAGCAACGUCGCGGGCGGGAUGACGGCCUGCGGGGUGUAAACCGCUGUCGCCUGUGACGAAGCGUGAGUGACGGUAAUGGGUAAAGAAGCACCGGCUAACUACGUG
rnacentral:rRNA from 1 species